rnacentral:rRNA from 1 species
UCGAGAAUUUUUCACAAUGGGCGCAAGCCUGAUGGAGCGACGCCGCGUGGGGGAUGAAGGGUUUCGAUCCGUAAACCCCUGUCAUUUGCGAACAAAAUUUAUGGGUGAACAGCCCAUGAACUGAUAGUAGUGAAAGAGGAAGGGACGGCUAACUCUGUGCCAGCAGCCGCGGUAAUACAGAGGUCCCAAGCGUUGUUCGGAUUCACUGGGCGUAAAGGGUGCGUAGGUGGCCAGGUAAGUUCGGUGUGAAAGCUCGGAGCUUAACUCCGAAAUGGCAUUGAAUACUAUCUGGCUAGAGGUUCGGAGGGGAGACUGGAAUUCUCGGUGUAGCAGUGAAAUGCGUAGAUAUCGAGAGGAACACCAGUGGCGAAGGCGAGUCUCUGGACGAAUCCUGACACUGAGGCACGAAAGCCAGGGGAGCAAACAG